UACGGGGGGUGCGAGCGUUGUCCGGAAUCACUGGGCGUAAAGGGUGUGUAGGCGGUUCUUUAAGUUUGGUGUGAAAUCUCCCGGCUCAACCGGGAGGGUGCGCCGAAUACUGAGGGACUAGAGUACGGGAGAGGAAAGUGGAAUUCCUGGUGUAGCGGUGAAAUGCGUAGAUAUCAGGAGGAACACCGGUGGUGUAGACGGCUUUCUGGACCGUAACUGACGCUGAGACACGAAAGCGUGGGUAGCAAACAGG
rnacentral:rRNA from 1 species